UACGUAGGGGGCAAGCGUUGUCCGGAUUUAUUGGGCGUAAAGAGCGUGUAGGCGGCCAGGUAGGUCAGCUGUGAAAACUCGAGGCUCAACCUCGAGCUGUCGGUGGAAACUGUCUGGCUAGAGUCCGGAAGAGGAGAGUGGAAUUCCUGGUGUAGCGGUGAAAUGCGCAGAUAUCAGGAAGAACACCUAUGGCGAAGGCAGCUCUCUGGGACGGUACUGACGCUGAGACGCGAAAGCGUGGGGAGCGAACAGG
rnacentral:rRNA from 1 species